AAGAUUCCGUGUGCAUGCACACUUCUUCAGAUACACAGAUACACUUCAGAUAUGUGUAUCUGAAGUGUGUGUGCACACGAAAGCUU